rnacentral:tRNA from 1 species
GAAGGAUUAGUUAAAAUAACAUUAGUAUGUCAAGCUAAAAUUGUCAACUUACUGACAUCCUUCU